GACGAACGCUGGCGGCGUGCUUAACACAUGCAAGUCGAACGGAAAGGCCCUGCUUUUGUGGGGUGCUCGAGUGGCGAACGGGUGAGUAACACGUGAGUAACCUGCCCUGGACUUUGGGAUAACUUCAGGCAACUGGGGCUAAUACCGGAUAGGAGCUCCUGCUGCAUGGUGGGGGUUGGAAAGUUUCGGCGGUUGGGGAUGGACUCGCGGCUUAUCAGCUUGUUGGUGGGGUAGUGGCUUACCAGGGCUUUGACGGGUAGCCGGCCUGGGAGGGUGACCGGCCACAUUGGGCCUGCGAUACGGCCCAGACUCCUACGGGAGGCAGCAGUGGGGAAUAUUGCACAAUGGGCGGAAGCCUGAUGCGGCAACGCCGCGUGCGGGAUGACGGCCUUCGGGUUGUAAACCGCUUUCGCCUGUGACGAAGCGUGAGUGACGGUAAUGGGUAAAGAAGCACCGGCUAACUACGUG
rnacentral:rRNA from 1 species